GUUGUCAAUUACAAAUAAGGUCUAAUUUAUUUUUUAGAGAAGAAAAUAAUCAAAGAAGUUCCUAUCUCGUUUCAGUUUUGUAAGAACAUCGUCUUUUGAAUCUCAAUCAUGCCCUCGCAACUUACGAACAAAAGAAAAUAGGUAUUUUUUAAUUUUUUAGAAUAGAAGUAAUUUGUCGGAAAAAGCGUCACCUUGUGUACAAGUUAAGUUAAUAGGUAGUUUUUAAAAACACUAAUAGAUGGCACUAGAAGUCAAACGUGCCACCAAACGCUUUUAGCCAACGGACGUUAAAGUGGUUAAAAGCACCAAAAUUAAUUAUUGAAAUUAUAAAUUUUUGAGUAAGAAUCACUACGAUAUUUGUUUAUUGUAGUUAAUUAGUAACAAUGUUAGUUGCCAGUCUCUGGGGCUAAUUGUCUAACGCAAACGAUUGAAUUUGACAGUUGAAAUCGUACGUUUUUACUUGUCAAACGGCUAUUUCGGAUUGUGUAAGCCAAUGGAAAGCCAUCGGUUGGGCAUAGUUAGUUCAUUACGAUUAGAUCGUUAUUUUUAUACGAAGAGUGAAUGAUUUGUUAAGAUUUGACAGUUAUUUGCGAUUGUCUUCGAAUUGUGUAAAGUUUUAUGUUCAUGGCUUAUGUCAAAAACUUACGAUGGGUCUUGAGUCACCUUUGAUCGUAAAACGGACAAAUUGUGGAUGUCCAAAAUUCCAAAAUAAUUAUUUAUAUUUUAUUAAAUAUCUAAAAUUAAUAUUUUUUUCCAUUCUAAAUCUCUCAAUUCAGUCUCCCCGUCCACAGUUAGCAUUUUUAGGACGAAACUUUGCGAAGUGUUUUGUUUGUAAACAAUGAACUCUGUUAAAAAGAGUAAUAAAUAAUAUAUUCUUUGCAAUGAACCUAUAAAGUCAAAACAAUGAAGUUAAUUGAGUGCUAUUAAUCGAUUUAUAUAGGAUGCUGAGACUUGGACUCUGAGAGAAAGAUAUUUGGAAUAUGCCCUAUAACUGCAGACUCCAAUAUUGCAAAAAGCACCUGCAAUACAGUGGAAUAACAUAUUGGUGUGCUGAAGAAAAGAUGGCAAAGGCUUUUAGCUGAUAGGACAUUGUACUGAUGACCCUGUUAUCUGGUCAAAUCAUAAAUGUGUGUGUAUUAUCAAAAUAUUUGCAUAGAUUGUGAAAUGCUGAUGAUAUUUGAUUUGGUCUUUGAUAUUUGAAAAUAAAAGAAUACUUACUUCGCUGA